rnacentral:rRNA from 1 species
CCUACGGGAGGCAGCAGUGAGGAAUAUUGGUCAAUGGACGAGAGUCUGAACCAGCCAAGUAGCGUGAAGGAUGACUGCCCUAUGGGUUGUAAACUUCUUUUAUAUGGGAAUAAAAUGUUCCACGUGUGGGAUUUUGUAUGUACCAUAUGAAUAAGGAUCGGCUAACUCCGUGCCAGCAGCCGCGGUAAUACGGAGGAUCCGAGCGUUAUCCGGAUUUAUUGGGUUUAAAGGGAGCGUAGGUGGAUUGUUAAGUCAGUUGUGAAAGUUUGCGGCUCAACCGUAAAAUUGCAGUUGAAACUGGCAGUCUUGAGUACAGUAGAGGUGUGCGGAAUGCGUGGUGUAGCGGUGAAAUGCUUAGAUAUCACGAAGAACUCCGAUUGCGAAGGCAGUUCACUGGACUGCAACUGACACUGAGGCUCGAAAGUGUGGGUAUCAAACAGGAUUAGAUACCCCGGUAGUC